CAAUAGCGGAGGAAAAGAACCCAACAGGGAUUGCCCUAGUAACGGCGAGUGAAGCGGCAACAGCUCAAAUUUGAAAUCUGGCCCCCUCGGGGUCCGAGUUGUAAUUUGCAGAGGGAGCUUUUGGCGUCGGUCGUGGUCUAAGUUCCUUGGAACAGGACGUCACAGAGGGUGAGAAUCCCGUACGUGGCCGCCGGCCUUCGCCUUGUAAAGCCCCUUCGACGAGUCGAGUUGUUUGGGAAUGCAGCUCUAAAUGGGAGGUAAAUUUCUUCUAAAGCUAAAUACCCGCCAGAGACCGAUAGCGCACAAGUAGAGUGAUCGAAAGAUGAAAAGCACUUUGGAAAGAGAGUGAAAAAGCACGUGAAAUUGUUGAAAGGGAAGCGCUUGCGGCCAGACUUGCCCGCGGUUGAUCAUCCAGGCUCCGGCCUGGUGCACUCCUCCGCGGGCAGGCCAGCAUCAGUUCGGGCGGUCGGAUAAAGGCCUCUAUCACGUACCACCCCCCGGGGUGGCCUUAUAGGGGAGGCGCAACACGGCCAGCCCGGACUGAGGUUCCGCGCAUCUGCUAGGAUGCUGGCGUAAUGGCAGCAAGCGGCCCGUCUUGAAACACGGACCAAGGAGUCUAACAUCUAUGCGAGUGUUUGGGUGUCAAGCCCGAGCGCGCAAUGAAAGUGAACGGAGGUGGGAACCCUUACCGGUGCACCAUCGACCGAUCCUGAUGUCUUCGGAUGGAUUUGAGUAAGAGCAUAGCUGUUGGGACCCGAAAGAUGGUGAACUAUGCCUGAAUAGGGUGAAGCCAGAGGAAACUCUGGUGGAGGCUCGCAGCGGUUCUGACGUGCAAAUCGAUCGUCAAAUUUGGGCAUAGGGGCGAA
rnacentral:rRNA from 1 species